CUCCCUCACUUUACAGAGCCAGGGAGCAGCUCCUGCCUCCACCCAGCUCUUCCCUUCCACAGACAGAGCACCCAGGCUGCCCUGCUCUGCUGCCUGCAUGGGUGACCGAUGGGCAAGGCGUGCAUUUCCCCUAGGUGAUGAAGAACUGAUUCCAGGAAAUGGAAUUAAUGGGUCCAAAGGCAUCAAAUAUAUCUGGAAGGACAGACAAAUUGGUCACAGUGGCACCUUCUGAGAAGGAGCUGAAUGGCUGAGAAAAAGAAAAGAGGUAAGAAGGAGAUUUUUACCGAAUCUUUUUAAACUUUUGCAUGUUGAAUAAUGUGAAUGUGGCCUAAAUGUAAACAAAUAUGAAAAUAAAAAUAACAAAAUGUAAAUUCCCAAGGGAUGUAAAUCCCCAGGGAUUAAAACCCCAGCUUGCUGACUUUGAGUGACCAACCAUGCAGAGUCCCCUGUGUCACUGUCCUCAGUCACUGCUGCUGCUGGUCACAGGGGGCCUGGCUGACACAGAGAGCCAAGGAAGAGUGUCAGUGCUGGUGGGCCUCUGUGUCUCUUCAGUAUCGAGAGCUGCUGAGAUGCACACAGUAACCUACCUCUGAUUUUCUGGCCUCUGCUGUGGCCCCUGUGUGGGGAGGGCAAGAGACACUCCAUCAUGGGAACCAUCGUGUGUGUGAAAAGCCCAAGGGACCCCAGCACUCUCUGUGUCACUACUGGGGGCAUCACCCAGCCAGCCUCCUUGUUUUACCAAUGGAGAAACUGAGGCAUGGAGCUAAAGGGACUCUGUGCUGAGAUCAUACUACCCUACUUUCCUGUGUUAUUCAUCUUCCAUCCCUCCAUAUCUCCACAGCCAUGGGCGGGGGCACCAUCUGCACUCAAUUCAUCCCUGCACCCUCAAGAAGCUGCACAGGCAGGUGGAGGCUCUGGCCUGGCCACAGCCCCCUCCUCUGCCCUCUGAGGCUGGAGGAUCGACAGCACUGGGCUUGGCUGGGCCUUGAAGCCUUCAGUGUGGAGUCUGGUCUUUGUCCUAAGAGCCCCUGAGGAGCUGCUGAAGGGUUUUAGGCUAGGCACUGAUGUUGUGUGAUUUAUGUUUCAGAAGAUUGCUCUGGCUGCUGGAGGAGAGGACUGGAGAGACUCGAGGGAGCAGGCAGGCCAAUGCAGCCACUGCCACCUGGACCAGACCAAGCAGGCCUGGGCUCGGUGGAGGGGAGGGGGCUGAGAAUGGGUCUGAGAACAGGCCAGCUGACUGCAGGUGGAAAUGUACAUUCCUCCUUGGGCAGUGAGUCUCUGUCCUAGAACUCUGGAAGUGAGGAAGGAUCACGACAUUACAGAGCUGUUUCAGAGAGGAACUGCUGAGUGAGGAUCCCAGUGCCAAGAUUCCAGGUCACAUCCUCCAAGAAGUCUUCCCUGUGCCCCAACCCUAGGCAGGCACUGUGGGCCUCCUCCAUCAAAUUAUCUUGGGGUUCUAGAUUUCUGUGUCUAUCCCACCCCGAUUCCAGCAUUCGGCAAUGAGCCUGGCACACAGUAGGACCUCAUACAUCACCUUCCUCCCUUCUUGGUCCCAGGACUUUCUGCUGGGUAUCCUGAAUGUCCAGCUCAAGGUACUGGCACACAGUAGGUGCUCAGGAGAUAGUUCUUGAAUUUGAUUCUCUCUGGGGCAGGCAUCCCUGACACACAGUAAGAACUAGCCCCGUCUCAAGGGCAGAGUCAAGGAUACUAACAACAGCAGCAGCCCUGGGAGCUCUCUUUAUUCCCUGUAGGGCUCUCUGCACUUGAGCUAGGCCUAUGGCUAGGUUUGUUUUGCAGACCAGCAAAUGGAGGCCUAGUGAAGUGGGGCAGUCUGCCUGUAGUUGUCAAAGACUUGAGCAGGCUGUCAGCAGGCUUUGAAUCCAAGCUGUCAGGCCUCAGCACCAGACUGUAUGGUCUGGUUCUGAAGGCUGCUACUGCUCCUGACACAUAGUAGGUGCUGAGAUGUCUGUAACGGGCCCCAAAAGGACACUGUCUUCUAGGUUGGCUGCCAUAGGGAGCAGCAGUGUAAGCCCUCUCUACUCCCAGCUGCAGGCCUCCCUCUUGCUUGAGUGGGCAAGGCCGUCCUGGGGCCGCUGCCAGUCCAGGCCUGCCCAGAACCUGCCGCCUACUCUGCCUCCCAGAGCCUCCCCCAGGCAGGCAGCAAGACCUGCCCCAUGGGACUGAGCCUCCCUUGGCUGCCUGGCCCAGACAAAGGCCAGCCGUGUGCCUGGCUCCCUGGCACUUGGGCCACCUCCUUCUCCUCCUCCUCUUCUUGCUACAGGGCACCCACAGAGGUUGUUUCCACAAAGGAGGUGGAGGGAAGGGUGGGGGGCAGGGCUAUGCAGCCCCAAGGGUAGAGGCUGGAGCAGUCAGAAUUAUUGGGCAGGUUAACUAGAUACAGAGAGCAGGGCAGUCCUGUAGAGCUGAGUGGCCUGACAGCAGGCGGGUGGGGGCUGGUGAGGGCACAGCCUGGCAGGUCUGACUCCUCUCCCUGCCCCCACAAGGCACCAGUGGGUGCCAGUUGAGCUCUGCUGAAUAACAAGCAUUCUGGGUCCUGAGUGCUGCCAGGGUGGGGCCUGGCACAUGGCAUCAAUAAUCCUCCCAACUACAGCCAGAGCUUCACACCUAAGCCAACCAGGGCAUUGAGGCAUCUAUUAAAUAACUCCCUGGUUUCACCAAGAGGAAGCUGAGGCUCAGAGGACAGAGCAACUUACCUACAAUCAUUAGGAUAAAAAUGAGUCAAAUGGAACCCACUGAUAGCAAGAGAGGGUAAACUUCCCACCAAUCCCAACAUCUCUGUAUAAUUAAUAAGGAAAUAGAAACAACAUUUACCGAACAUUACCAUAUGCCAGGCAUUGUACCUAGGGCAUUAUCUAUCUAUAAGCCUUUCAUUUAUUUUUUAAUUAAAAUUUUUUUGGUUUUUGAGACAGGGUCUUGCUAUGUAGUUCAAACUGGCCUUGAACUCACCACAAUCCUCCCACCUCAGCCUCCCGAAUGCUGGGAUUACAGGUGUGUGCCAUCACACCUGGCUCCUAUAAACCAUUUAAUCCCACAACAACCCUACAAGAUGAGAACUAGUGUGUCCAUUUCACAGAUGAAGAAACUGAGGCCUGGCAAGGUAGAAUGACACACCUAAGAACAAACAGUAAGUAUACGAGAGAGUGAGGUUUCAACCCAGCCAUCCAGAAUCUACCCACUAAACUGCCACCUAUCCUAGGUAGAUGGGCGGACAGACAGACAGGUUAAUGGGUGGGACCUCUACCCUAGGAGCACCAGGCCUGAGACUGGGCACCUAGCAGGUGCUUGGACAGCAGGAGCCAUGACCAUUCUUUGUAACACAGGCCCUGCAGGAGGGCCUCACCUUCUCAGCAGACUGGAGCUCUCCAGGCCACGGCCACAGAACGUGUGCCUGGGCUGCUGGGCAGCCGCUCCCUCACAGAGCAGAGCAGCGGCAUGACGGAUGUGCCCGCCGCCGCAGGGAGCCCAGGGCAGAGCAGUUGCCUGGAAACAGACUGCUCCCGCGGCCCACACUCAGACCUUUGUCACCAUCUCAAGGACCUUUUUUUCCUCCUCCUCCUUUCUUGCGGGAGCCAGACCCGCGCGCAGGUGAGGAACUGCAGCCAACGCCACCGCAUCGGCAGCCCCGUCACCAUCACCAGGGAACACGACGGGGAGAGGGAGGCAAGGCAGGCUGGGACUCAGGUUUUCGCGGGUGGCCCAGCAGGGCUGGAAACACCCUGCCACUGGAACACUUCUCUGGCUGGCUUUAUCUGCUCCCAGCUUCCCUGACGAAAAAUGAGCCGGAGUCCUUUUUCCUAUUGGCGCAGUCCUGGAAGCAUCCGCCUGUAGAGCGGAGGGGGCGGGAGGAUCUGGGCGGGGCCACCUCUGCAGGGCGGAGACAGGGACAAGGACAGGUGCGGCACACCCAGCACACAGGCACUAAUCCUGCUGGUGGGCCCUGGGGGAACUGGCUGGGGACGGGGCCACGCCCCAGCCUGCCCAGCUUGGGGACAGGGGUGUUAUCUCUCCUCUCCGUGUCUUGGUUUCUUCCUCAGUGAACACCACAGGGGACUGGCAGCAGGCCUGGCAGAAGGGCAGUUUGUUUUUGCCCCAAGCCCUCAGGAGGCAGGAGGUCCACAGCCACUCACUGGACACACGAAGAAAGUGAGGAUCCAGAGAUUCAUCUGUGAAAUGAGUCUAAUGAUCUGAGCUCUGCGUGCACAGGGAAAGGAUGUCUAGGACCUCCAGAUGUGAACAGAAGUGGGCUCCCUGGCUUCUCCACCUGAGUGCUCAGCAGGCUGGUUCCCCACAGAAAGCUAAUGCAGAGUGGGGUAGGAACCUGGGGCCAGGAGCUUCAUGAGAGGAGAGCUGACGCUGCAGCACAGACUGGUGGGUGGGGCCUUCUACCAAGGCUGGGAAGCCAAGUGCCAAGUGACCAUGGGCAGGAAAGCCCAAAAAAGGAGAAGUCCUUCUGCAAGGUCCACUGGCCAGCUCCUGUCUGGCUGUAGCCCUGAUCUCUGGGGCUGAAUCCUGGCUCAGCUGCCUGGUACUGCCCAGCCAGGCAGCCCCUCUGAACCUGAGUUUCCUCCUCCACACGGCUCUUCCCAGGGCAGACCUGAGGCUUGGAAAAGCUGACAGGUACAGGCAUGUGGGUGCGGGGCUGCAAAAGAAGUGUCCGGAGACCCAGCCCUCCCUGCCCAGCAAGGCCAGACACCGGAUGGACAGACAGUCCGAGUGGACAAUCACAUGAGGCACCUCUUCCUGUUCUCCAAGGACCUGGCCCAGACUCCGCCCACCCACAGCCUGCGCUUCCCCCAUUCUGGCCUUUCACCACCUUUGCAGUAGACCUGACGCACCAAGCCAAGCCUGACACUUGCUCAUUACUGCAAAUCUGAAAGUCAUUAUUGUUGGAAGUGGUACUGUGUGUAUGGGUUCUGGUACACUUAGUGGGACAGUAGGCACUGGGCAGCUCCAUUCACCCUCUAUCUCCUGGUCCCUAAACUGGGAGACCCUGAUCUCAGCCUCCAUAGGUUCUGCUUCACUGGGACCCUGGACAAGUCACUUACCCUCUCCAGGCCCCAGUUUACCCCGUUUAUAGGAUGGGGAUGUUAUCUUUUCCCCUCUUUCUUUAGAAGACCCAAGUGAUAAGACAAACUGCCAAUAACUAUGAAAAUGACUCAAAGUCAUACCAGAAUGUCAGGUGCUGGCUUUAAGCAUUGACUGAGCAGUUCUUGUAGCCAGGGUCAGGGGUGGGCUCUCAGACACACUUCCUGUAAGUGCCAUGGCAACACUAAUCGUCAGGCUUCCCAUCCCCAUUUUGUAGAGAAGGACACUGACACAGCAUAAUUUGCCUAAGAUCACACAGGGAAGUGGCAGACCCAGCCAGGUAAAAAGCAGCCACACAGGGUGAGAAGCUAGGGGGAUGGUGUUCCCUGUCCUAAGUCACCUUUGGUCAUAAAACCCAGUCUUCAAGUUGAAGAAAUGAGCCGCAAAGCCACAAGCCCAGCUCAACCUAGAGAUGGGCUGUGAGGUCAUAAAUCUCUAUUCUGAGGCCUAAGGUACUGAAGGGUAAAAUGGUGCAUCUUGAUUCCCAAAUGGAAGGGGUGAUGGGAGCUGGGGACACUGUUCUAGGCAUAUCCCUGCCUCAGGGCCUCUGCCCUGAUUCUUCCCUCUCCCUGGAAUGCUUUUCCACCAGAUACCUCCACUCUCUGCUCCCAUACCUCCUUCAGGGUUUUGUUCAAGAUGUCAUUUUCUCAGGGCUGGGUGUGUAGCUCAGUGACAGAGUGCUUGCCUAGCUAGCAUGUGUGAGGCCCCGGUGCCAUCGACAGCACCACACAAAAAAAAGAGGGAAAAUAAAGUCACCUUCUCAUUGAGGCCCUCCCUGACACCAUGUUUAAAAUUCCAACAGCCCCACCUCCCAACACCCUCACUCUGCUUUAUUUUUCUCUGCACCAUCCCCAGAACCUGGCAGAUUGGCUGCCACCCUGCUUGCUGCACAGCGCGCCUGCCCCGUGGCACGCCAGCUCUCCCAGGACAUGGAUUUUCCUUUGACCCUCCAGAGUGGAUAGACUAGAACUGAGCAAAUGCUUGGCAGAUAUCUGAACAAGGGAAUAAAAGUGAGGCCCAGAGUCAGAACACAGUGGGCCGUGAGCCACACAGGAAGUAAAAAGCAGCAUUUGUGUUCUGGCCUUCUGUCCCCGGCCCUGGUUCUGUUCCCUCCUUACUGGCAUGGGAUCAGCUUGGGUAUGCAGAAACCUAGGUACUGCCUUCCUCCCUUCCUGAGAGACGUGGGAGUCAGCAAUGGGCGGGCAGCAGCCUUUCCUGGGGCCUGUGUAAGGGCAACAGCAAGCGGGUGUAGUGUGUCCACCCAGAGGCCCUGGCCUCCGCCUGCCCACUCCCACCCAGUUCCUAGUUGAGGGCCAUGAACACAACCUUCUUGUCUCUUUGUCUCCUGACUUAUGGAGUGGGACCUCCCCCUGGAAAUGUCAGCUGCCACAGCAAGGGUGGCAGUUCCUCACCUUUCUGGGAGGAUGGCUCUCUCUCUCACAGAAGAGAUGCUGAAGAAUAGAAGGAAAAAAUGGAAAGAAAACUUUUGUAUAU